UUCUGGGAGGAUUGACGGAUUGAGAGCUCUUUCUUCAUUCUGCGGAUGGUGGUGCUUGUCCUUUCUUAGUUGGUGGAGCGAUUUGUCUGGUUAAUUCCGAUAACGAACGAGACUCUAGCGUAUUAAAAACGUGCGUGGUUCUCUGCAACCUGCAGCCUUCUUAGAGGGACACGCGGCUUGUAGCCGCACGAAACAGAGCGAUAACAGGUCUGUGAUGCGCUUAGAU
rfam:Ixodes scapularis strain Wikel colony gcontig_1108378675200, whole genome shotgun sequence.